AAAUAAAAUCUAAAAGAAAAACCGAGACGAUUUACGGUUUUAAGUCCAGCCAGAGAUAGGUAGAUCUUGCCAGAUUUUGAAAUCCGUGUUGAUCCCUUUUACGUUUGGGAAGCAACGAAAGUUUCCCCACUCUGGUCUACUAACCUUACUGCUGCUGAGCACAAAUUAAAGAAGGCUAAGGCUACAAGUGUGAGUAUUUCAACCGUGCCUCACAAUUGUGGAAGACUCCACCUAUGGGCGUGGCUACACGGACAUACCCAAUCUGCAACCGUGGAUUGGGGUUGGAAUCCCCUCCUCGCCCCCUAUCAGCUUCAACGAGAGUAUUUAUUACAGAUGUUAUGAAUAUGGCGACUGAGCAACUGAUGAUACAUAGACCACCCUCCUCCAGUUCGCUGCAGUGGAAUGACUGGCAUGCAUACGCCACCCAGAGAACCAUCUGCCCCCUUUGAGUGGGUUAAGCCUCCAAGAGCGGAGUAGACCCUUAGGGGUAAAAAAUUCCCCACACCAAAGAAAGAAAGAGAACAAAUGCUUGAAAGAUGUUAAAAAAUGGCCUGUCCUCAUUUAACCCCCUCCUCUCUCACCCAGCAUUAGACAAUCAUCCCAUUGGAAUUCCUCACUGCUUUCUGAUGUUGGGGGAUGUGAAUCAAGGCUUUAUUAUGAAGAGUAAUACAUUUUCUCCAUGUCAGAUAUUGAAGAUGCCUUAUUUGCUCGCUUAGCACAGAUGUCCGUACAGUACAUGUCCUCACAUGGAAGUGGACAACACACUGGAUCCAGAAAACAUGCAGGAAGUUCACAUUCCCAUCCUUAAGGAUCCUUUUUGAAGAUGUCUCUGUCUGUUUGGCACAAUAGAGAUAUAGGGUAGUGAGGAGAGAUAGAGUAGGUGGAAGGUUGGAGGGAGAUAAAGUCAGAUGGUGUGGUUGAGAGUUACGGAGAGAAGGAGAUGACUGGUUGGAGAGAGAUGGAUAGCGGACCUGUCAAAAAUGCUGACCACACAUUGCUACUUUUGCAAAGCAUGUGCACAGAUCAUGCCAUUAAAGCCCUUUGAAUUGAGUUUAAUUCUGGUGAUAGCAUGUCCUUAGUUGAAAGGUUGAACAGAAUGCCUUAAAUGAAAGUACACAGACUCAUGCAGUAGGUUGGGCUGUAAACUGUAGAUAGACAUUUGGAUUGGCGGUUCUGCACUGUCACCACCACCACAAUGUGAAACAGAGGCCCAAUGUAAAAUAUGUUUGAAUUACUUUGUUGAUAAGUGUUUAUAAAGUUAUUUUCAUUCAACAUGGCAUAGUGUCAGAAGAAAUAUAAUUACAAUGUCCUUUAUGGUUUCUGACACACACACACACACACACACACACACACACACACACACACACACACACACACGGUGCUUCUUUUCCUUCUCUUCCUGGAGUUCUGUUUUUUACACAGUCAAUGCAUCUGUUUGUGUGGAUGCCCAUAUUUCAUCCCCUGACACAUGAUGAGCUCUCCUUGCAAAAAGACUCCAUUGUUCCUCUCUCAGCCAGCCAACUGAUGAGCAUCACAAGU
rnacentral:lncRNA from 8 species